CAUGGAGGGUGAGAAUCCCGUUCAUGGUUAAUCUUAAGGAAGCUCUACGAUACGUUUUCCAAGAGUCGAGUUGUUUGGGAUUGCAGCUCAAAAUGGGAGGUAAAUUUCUCCUAAGGCUAAAUAUUGGCGAGAGACCGAUAGCGAACAAGUACCGUGAGGGAAAGAUGAAAAGAACUUUGAAAAGAGAGUUAAACAGUACGUGAAAUUGUUGAAAGGGAAACGAUUGAAGUCAGUCAUACCAACGGGAAAUCAACCUUUUGAGUUUGGUCUCGUGGGUUUUGAAGAGUUUCAAAGCCUUCGGAUUCGCGGGAUUGGGAUCUCUUGGUGUACUUUUUCGUACGGUUAGUCAACAUCGGUUUUGAAUGUCAUAAAAUGACUGGAGGAAUGUAGCUUCGAUCUCGUAUUGAAGUGUUAUAGCCUUUGGUAGAUGUGAUGUUUGAGACCGAGGAUUGCAACGGAUACCCUUUAGGGCUAUUCGUCUGAUCUCUGAUACGUUGCCUUGAUGUUGAAAGCUUGCUUAUGAUGUUAGGGUAUUACGGUCAAAAGGUUAGAACGAAUUAGAUUCGUUAAGGAUGUUGACGUA
rnacentral:rRNA from 1 species